rnacentral:rRNA from 1 species
UGGGGAAUUUUGGACAAUGGGGGAAACCCUGAUCCAGCCAUCCCGCGUGUGCGAUGAAGGCCUUCGGGUUGUAAAGCACUUUUGGCAGGAAAGAAACGUCAUGGGUUAAUACCCCGUGAAACUGACGGUACCUGCAGAAUAAGCACCGGCUAACUACGUGCCAGCAGCCGCGGUAAUACGUAGGGUGCAAGCGUUAAUCGGAAUUACUGGGCGUAAAGCGUGCGCAGGCGGUUCGGAAAGAAAGAUGUGAAAUCCCAGAGCUCAACUUUGGAACUGCGUUUUUAACUACCGGGCUAGAGUGUGUCAGAGGGAGGUGGAAUUCCGCGUGUAGCAGUGAAAUGCGUAGAUAUGCGGAGGAACACCGAUGGCGAAGGCAGCCUCCUGGGAUAACACUGACGCUCAUGCACGAAAGCGUGGGGAGCAAACAGG